rnacentral:rRNA from 1 species
GAUGAACGCUAGCGGCAGGCCUAAUACAUGCAAGACGAACGGUAAGUUGAGUAGCAAUACUUAGCCAAGAGUGUCGUACGGGUGCGUAACACGUAUGCAACCUACCCUAUACAGGAGGAUAGCCUAGGGAAACCUGGAUUAACCCUUCAUAGUAUUAUUGGAUGGCAUCAUUUGAUAAUUAAAACUGAGGUGGUAUAGGAUGGGCAUGCGUCUGAUUAGUUAGUUGGCGGGGUAAUGGCCCACCAAGACGAUGAUCAGUAGGGGUUCUGAGAGGAAGAUCCCCCACACUGGCACUGAGAUACGGGCCAGACUCCUACGGGAGGCAGCAGUAGGGAAUAUUGGUCAAUGGGAUGAC